rnacentral:rRNA from 1 species
CCAGCAGCUGCGGUAAUUCCAGCUCCAAUAGCGUAUAUUAAAGUUGUUGCGGUUAAAAAGCUCGUGGUUGGAUCUCGGCAGGUGGCAGGGGCGGUCUGCUUGCCUGUUUGGCAGAGGGGGUUGGGUGCUCUUCAUCGAGCGUCCAGCAACGCUGCCAACUUUACUUUGAAAAAAUUAGAGUGCUCAAAGCAGGCUUCACACGCUUGAAUCUUCGUGCAUGGAAUAACGGAAAAGGAAGUCACUUCCAAUUUUGUUGGUUUUCGGAAAUCGACUUGAUGAUUGAUAGGGACAAUCGGGGGCAUUAGUAUUCAGACGACAGAGGUGAAAUUCUUGGACCGUCUGAAGACUAACGACUGCGAAAGCAUUUGCCAAGAGUGUUUUCAUUAAUCAAGAACGAAAGU